rnacentral:rRNA from 1 species
UACAGAGGUGGCAAGCGUUGUUCGGAAUUAUUGGGCGUAAAGAGCUCGUAGGCGGUUUGUUGCGUCGGCUGUGAAAUCCCGAGGCUCAACCUCGGGUCUGCAGUCGAUACGAGCAAACUAGAGUGUUGCAGGGGAGACUGGAAUUCCUGGUGUAGCGGUGAAAUGCGCAGAUAUCAGGAGGAACACCGGUGGCGAAGGCGGGUCUCUGGGCAACAACUGACGCUGAGGAGCGAAAGCGUGGGGAGCGAACAGG